rnacentral:rRNA from 1 species
GGCCUAAUACAUGCAAGUCGAACGGUGUCUUAGGACAUAGUGGCGCACGGGUGCGUAACACGUAUGCAACCUACCUUACAUUGGGGGAUAGCCUUUCGAAAGGGAGAUUAAUACCGCAUAAGACAGUAGCUGGGCAUCCAGCAGCUGUUAAAGAUUUAUCGAUGUAAGCUGGGCAUGCGUCCAAUUAGCUAGUUGGUGAGGUAACGGCUCACCAAGGCUACGAUUGGUAGGGGAACUGAGAGGUCAAUCCCCCACAGUGGCACUGAGAUACGGGCCAGACUCCUACGGGAGGCAGCAGUAGGGAAUGUUGGGCAAUGGACGCAAGUCUGACCCAGCCAUGCCGCGUGCAGGAUGAAGGCGUUAUGCGUUGUUUACUGC